CAAUCGCGGAAGCCUGAUGCAGCGACGCCGCGUGAGGGAUGAAGGCCUUCGGGUCGUAAACCUCUGUCCUUGGGGACGAAAUCUGACGGUACCCAAGGAGGAAGCCCCGGCUAACUACGUGCCAGCAGCCGCGGUAAUACGUAGGGGGCAAGCGUUGUCCGGAAUCACUGGGCGUAAAGGGUGCGUAGGCGGCCUAGCAAGUCCUGUGUGAAAUACCUCGGCUUAACCGGGGAGGGUCAUGGGAAACUGUUAGGCUCGAGUGCCGGAGAGGGCAGUGGAAUUCCAGGUGUAGCGGUGAAAUGCGUAGAUAUCUGGAGGAACAUCAGUGGCGAAGGCGACUGCCUGGACGGUAACUGACGCUGAGGCACGACAGCUGGGGGAGCAAACAGGAUUAGAUACCCUGGUAGUCCCAGCCGUAAACGAUGAGUGCUAGGUGUUGGGGGUAUCGACCCCUCCAGUGCCGUAGUAAACACAUUAAGCACUCCGCCUGGGGAGUACGCCC
rnacentral:rRNA from 1 species